rnacentral:tRNA from 1 species
GCCCCCAUAGCUCAAUGGAUUAGAGUAAUGGUCUUCGGAACCAGUGAUGGAGGUUCGAAUCCCCCUGGGGGCA